AGAAAACUAAUAGGAUUGUUUUAUUAUAUAAAUUUGAAUUUAACUUACUAGUAAAAAUGCUUGUAUUAACUCCUAGGACGAGAAGACCCUAGAAGUUUUAAAUAUUAAGAGUAUUUUUAAUUGGGGUAAUUUAUGAAGAUAAAAAUUUUUAUGAUUUUAUAUAAUAAUAUAUUAUAAGAAAUUACUCUAGGGAUAACAGUGUUAUUUAAUUAACAAGUUCUUAUUAAUAGUUAAGUUUGCGACCUCGAUGUUGAAUUAAUUUAUAAUUUUUGAUGAAGGAGUUAAAAUUUUUAUAGUCUGUUCGACUAUUAAAAAAUUACGUGAUCUGAGUUCAGACCG
rnacentral:rRNA from 1 species